rnacentral:misc_RNA from 1 species
ACACCUCAACUCUUCACGGCUUGCUGUGAUGAGCUUGGCCUUUGGGGGUCUUGUUGGCCUGUGAGCCAGCUCCUCUUAAAUGAAUUAGCUUGCCAGUGUUUGGUGGCAUCACAGGUGUGAUAACUAUCUACGCUUGUGGUUUCCCAUCAGGUAACCUUCAGCGAUGGAGGUUCGCUGGGGCUUAUAAACAUCUCUCCUUGGUGAGGACAGAUUUUGACU